rnacentral:lncRNA from 10 species
UGUCUCUGCCGCUGAGAUGUUUCCUAGCUGUGCACAGAAUUCACUCUCCUACUGGAGGGCUCUGACUGAAAGCUCUGAUGCGGCAGGCCUUCUCUUGACACUUGGUUAAGGUAUGCCUCUCACAUCUGUAUGCCCACAUCUGCUCUCCUCCCUCCCUCCUUCUCAGCACUUAGCCCUCUGAUAUGGUUUGCUGGCGUCCCCACCCAAAUCUCAUCUUGAAUUGUAGUUCCCAUAAAUCCCCACGUAUUGUUCGAGGUACCCCGUGGGAGAUAAUUGAAUCAUGGGGGUGGUUACCCAGAUGCUGCGGUUCUCGUGUUAGUGAGUUCUCGUGAGAUCUGAUGGUUUUAUAAGGGGCUUUUCCCCCUUUUUCUCGGCACUUCUCCUCGCUGCCGCCACAUGAAGAAGGAUGUGUUUGCUUCCCCUUCUGCCAUGAUUGGAAGUUUCCUGAGACCCCUCCAGCCAUGCUGAACUGUGAGUCAAUCAAACGUCUUUCCUCCAUAAAUUACCCAGUCUCGGGUAUGUCUUUAUUAGCAGUGUGAGAAUGGACUCACACAUUCUCCUAAUGUAGUAUACAUGUGUUUGCUCAUUUGUCACCAUCUCUCCAUCUCUAGUCUCUAGAAUAUGAGAUCUGUAAGAACAGGGACACCUAGAAUACGAGAUCUGUAAGAAUAGGGACAUUGUCUGUAUCAGGUGUUCAUGGCUCAAUCCCAGCACCUGGAACAGCAUGAGGCACCUGGCAGGUGCCUGACAAACAUUUGCAGGGAAUAUGUGUGCAUGAACCUGCAUGGGCAGGAACAGGUGCAUAGGAACAUGGAUUGUGGACGUGCAUGUAUGUGCGUGCAUAUGUAUACCACUAUGUAUACGUAGCUUAUUGUGUCUUUGCAGUGAGGUUUUCAAACCUCUGUCUUGUUUCCAGGAUUUCCUGAAGACACCAUCCCAGUCAAGUGGUCUGCCUCAUACUGAGCCACCAGACCACCCAGCAUGUCCUCACCCGCGUGGACAGAUGACAGGGGGCUCUGAGCAUGCCCCAGUGCACCUUACGCACCUGUGAAGGUUGGGAGCCUGAGUGCAGCUCCUGUGGCACUGCCCGUGGCCAGGGAGAUGCCUCCUCAGUGCUCCUGACCCUCGGUGGAGGACCGGCCAGCGUGUGUGCCGACAGUGUGUCCACACAGGUGUGCUGCGCCCAAUGGGCAAGUCGGAAACAAAGGAAAAUGCUCUCUGAAGGAAAAGGCAAAGCAAUUUGGAUUUCUGCGAGAAAAUGAGACUGCAUGUGGCACUGUAAAUACCCUUGCUGCUGAACUUCUCGCUCCCCCCAGAUACACCCUUCAUAUUGACAUGUCUAGAACCUUAAACUGAACCAAGUUGAAAAGUGAGAUUAAUUAGGGCUGAGUUAACAGUUAACACAUACAAUGAAAUAUUGAAUAAGGCUUACUGAGCAAACAAGAAUAUACAGAAGUGGAGGAGACAAAGAGGAUAUUAAAAAUGCAGACAGUGAUGAGGCAGAUAGCUGGGACAAAUAAUGAAAAAUAGUAAAGGAGAUAAGGCAGAUAUUGGAGGAGCAAAGAGUCUCUGAAAUAGAUAUCGGUAUUGAAAGAUGCUAAACACGCUUCUAAAGAGACUUUCUAGCCGACACAGGGAGCUCACUGAUGGAUGAAGUAGAAACAUUUUUAAAUGGAAUCAAACAGGGCAAAGCGGGAGAAGAAAAAGAAGUAGGUAAACCAGUAAAUUAACUUUUCUCGUGUGUGCUGUGUACUAUUUGUGAGUGAGCAAUGAACGCUGUGGCUCCCUGGAGGGGCUGUGGUGGGAAGUUUCACUGCGAUCAAGUAGAGGUGGUGCCUUUGGACCUCUUCUCCUGAACCUGCAGGGAGAGGCGCAGAAUAUUCACAAGGUGAAGAUGCAACAAUUCAAAUGAGUGUCCAGGUUUUCAGGGUGGUUGCUAAACCCCAAAAGACCGAUAGCUUCGGGCAAAAGACUGCAGAAAGAACAGCUUUACAUUUUUACGGAAGCAAUGGGAAAUAUACCCUGUAAGCCUUGAAAAAUUCCCGAAGGGAUUAGGUUCCUCAUGGUAGCUGUGCAGGAAGGGUGCAGAGUGGCCUGAGGGGCUAUUGGGAAAGUCCACCUUGGGUUGAGGGAUCUGGGAGGGCUCCCUGGAGGAGGUGGUGUUGGACUACAGCGAUGGGAACAUAAAGGAGCUGGAGAGAGAUUUGGGUGCCAGUCAGCACAAGAAAGGCCCACACAGAGAAAGUCAGGCUGGGGCGAGAGUGAGCCCCCCAAGCUGAGAGCUCAGCCUGAGAGCAUGGGAAGCCAUCCAGGAGCUGAGAAGCCAGGCUGGGUCUGACCCCACUGAUUCAGAUCCCUCUGUGGCCUUGGGAAAGGCCAGAGACAGGGCCGCAGGUGGGGGCUUUGGUGAAGGGAGCGAGAGUGUGAGCCAGUGCCACGUAGAGAGGACAGACGCAGGGAUGCCAGCCAGGGUGCCGUCGGCCAAGAAAGGAAGGUCCAGCAGGCACAGUGUCAGAGGAGGGUCCCAGAGGAAGGCACUGGGAACAGUCCUGGCCCUCAAAAUGUCACUGUCUGAGGGUCUUGACCUCUGGCUUGUGAGCUCACAGAGGGCAGCGCCCUUGCACUCACCUUCCUGUUGACCUGCAGGGCCAAGCAUUGUGCCGGACAUAGGGGUGAACAGGCACAUGCUUCCCACCUGUCAGGGAGAUUCUUGCUCUCCUGGCUCUGCCCCACCCCUGGGGGCUCUGCCAGCUCCUCGGAACCCUGAGUCCAGGGCAGGGCACGGUCUCAGGUCUUAGCCUGAUGACGUAGUACAGGCUCUAGGCCCCAGGAGGGACAUGGCACUUCCUGCAUCGACUCUGUCACUGGUCUCCCCAGGGCUUCCCUCCCCAAGCCUCAGGGGCUGUGGGGUACCCCAUCCUCUCCACAGAACACGUGCACAGGCCUCCAGGAGAUGGUUAAUAGAACGGAGAGGUUUUAGGGAAGUUUAUUUCUAUAGCUCUUACAUUUAUUUAUAUUUGUCAAAUAUGUUCCCAUCACUAAAAUCUCUUUGGAGCAUUUUCAAAAAUUAAAGAAUUGCGUCUAAAAAUACUGACCUUGAUGUUCAGUGUGCAUGGGUAACUCUCCAGGCCCAGCAACAUCAAGAGGCAGAUGUGACAGCAGCCGUGGCUGCUCAGGGGGCCGGGAAUGCGGGAAAGGGGUGGCUGUCAAACAGUCUUGACAAGCGGCUGAAUGUGACUGUGUCGGAUUUGGAAAGUGCAGCCUGAGAAUUUGAAAUCCAUUCACUCCCCACCCCCAAGCGUUUUUUCAUGUAUUCGUUCAUUCAGCACACCUUGAAUGAACACUCUUUUAUUUGCUACCUAUUCAGGGACACUACACAGGCCCGUGACCAUCACACGCCCAGCCUGGCCCCGUGCUGUGCCUGAGCAGAGGACUGUUGGCAGAUGGUUCACUUCCACCCUCCAUGAUAAAUGCUGAGAAAAGAAAGAUCAAGGGCUUCAGAGCCCACUGGAGGGAAUUCAUACAGCCGGGGGCCCAGGAAGCUGCUAAGGAAACUGCCUGGACGGCAGGGUGGCCGUGACCACGGGGACGGGGAGAAGGACCCAGAGGAGCUGAGGAAUCCUUGCUGUGGAAGGCACCAUAUGAGCUGCGUGAAGUCAGAGUCAAAAGCAAACCCGUCUCUUCUUGACAGUGGGACCCAGGAGGCAGGACAACCUGCCAGAGAGGCUGAAGGAGGUUCCCUCAGGCUGGAUCCUCGACAAGAAAAAGGAAGAGGGUCUGCCUGAUUCCCUCGCCAACAACAGCUGGUCUUCCAGAAGUCAGCAAUCUCUUGUCCCUUGUCUUCAAAAGCCCAUGGAGCUGGAGGCAGGCAGCUGAGGUCAGGAAGAGAAGGUGCGACCCAGUCCAGGAAGGCUGAGUCCUCGUGAACCCUCAGGGCUGGGGUGAGGGGCCAGUGCCCGGCCCAGACACCAGCACAGCCCUGCAGUGGGAGUUGAUCUCAGCAGAUGGACGGGCACCGCCCAGAGGAUGGACUGGUCAGCACCGCCCGGAGGAUGGACCGCUCAGCACCGCAGUGGCCGCUUGGCCUAAUUUGCCACCUGAAGAGCCGCCAGGUCUCCAGUGACUCUAGCACCAUGGACAGGAGAGGAGCAGGGUGACCUGAGGGUACAGAGAAGGUUCUGCUGUAAUCAAGUUCCCCUGCCUGGUCAGAGGGCUCAGAGGUUUGAGAGGGGAGGGAUUUCCUUUUAAAGCUGCAGGAUCCCUGUGGGUCCAGAAAGAAACACAGCCAUGGCGGGCAUCCCAUGGAGGGUAGUGACCAGGAGCAGGACAAAGGUGGAAGGUGGGUGGAGCCCCCACAUGGGCCUCAGGUCACAUUGGACAUUUCCUCAGCAAGUGUCACCUGGGUGGUGACGAAUGGGGGAGGAGAACAGAUGGAAUGCGGAGAGUAGCAGUGUGAAGCUGCACCGCCUGGUCACCACUCGAGAUACACAGGGUUUGCUCUGCCUGAGGAGCACACGCUGGCUGCAGACACGGGGCAACCACGUGAGAAAGGUCAGACCCAGGCCCACUCGCCUUCCAUAUGCAUCUUAGGGACGGGGAUGCCUGCGCCAGCAGCAGCCUUGCUGCCCCUGCGUCCCCCAGUGCACCUGCCAGGGCAAAGCCAACAGGCAGUGCCAAGGACCUGAGGGAGGAGGUGGGCUUGACUUCGAGGCAGGGCACAGACACCAGACCACGUGGAGGAGCAGCUGAAACAGGGCCGGUGGCAGCAGCCGCCUGUGAGACGUGCCAGCCGGUGAGCCUUGUUAGUUUACCAUUGCCACGGCAAGACCCAGAAGUUACUGCCACUUCCCACGGUAAAAUCCCAAUGACCCUGAGGUUUCUGCUCCUUUUCUAGAAAUUUCUGCAUAAACCAACCCCUAAUUAGCAUGUAGUUAAAAGUGGGUGUAAUUAUGAUGCGGAGCUGCCUCUGAGCUGCUCUUCUGUGCACUCUGCUGUCCUGGGGCAGCCCCUCUGCUGCCGCU